rnacentral:misc_RNA from 1 species
AACGAGGCCGACCUGCGGCUGAGUUACCUGCGGAGGGAUCAUUACCGAGUUUACAACUCCCAAACCCCUGUGAACAUACCUAUACGUUGCCUCGGCGGAUCAGCCCGCGCCCUGUAAAACGGGACGGCCCGCCCGAGGACCCUAAACUCUGUUUUUAGUGGAACUUCUGAGUAAAACAAACAAAUAAAUCAAAACUUUCAGCAACGGAUCU